ensembl:antisense Gm11192 predicted gene 11192
CUUCUGCAACAUGUAAGCACCUGGCAAAGAAAUAGGAAAUGGGGAAAGGUCACCGUCUCAAAGGGGAGGAGAACACAUGCAGGACCACACUGAUCUUCCAAUACUUCCUGUCUAGGGUCCACAUCCAGACAACGGCAGGAAUUGAACCCAG